CCUACGGGAGGCAGCAGUGGGGGAUAUUGGACAAUGGGGGGAACCCUGAUCCAGCGACGCCGCGUGAGUGAAGAAGUAUUUCGGUAUGUAAAGCUCUGUCAGCAGGGAAGAAAGAAAUGACGGUACCUGACCAAGAAGCCCCGGCUAACUACGUGCCAGCAGCCGCGGUAAUACGUAGGGGGCAAGCGUUAUCCGGAAUUACUGGGUGUAAAGGGAGCGUAGACGGUUAAGUAAGUCUGGAGUGAAAGGCCGGGGCCCAACCCCGGGACUGCUCUGGAAACUAUUGAACUUGAGUGCAGGAGAGGUAAGCGGAAUGCCUAGUGUAGCGGUGAAAUGCGUAGAGAUUAGGCGGAACACCAGUGGCGAAGGCGGCUUACUGGACUGUAACUGACGUUGAGGCUCGAAAGCGUGGGGAGCAAACAGGAUUAGAUACCCCAGUAGUC
rnacentral:rRNA from 1 species